AGAGCGAACGCUGGCGGCAGGCCUAACACAUGCAAGUCGAACGGACUCUUCGGGGUUAGUGGCGGACGGGUGAGUAACACGUGGGAACGUGCCUUUAGGUUCGGAAUAGCUCCUGGAAACGGGUGGUAAUGCCGAAUGUGCCCUUCGGGGGAAAGAUUUAUCGCCUUUAGAGCGGCCCGCGUCUGAUUAGCUAGUUGGUGAGGUAAAGGCUCACCAAGGCUACGAUCAGUAGCUGGUCUGAGAGGAUGACCAGCCACAGUUGGGACUGGAGACCGACGGACCCCAAAACUCCCGUAACGGGGACGGCGAGCGAGGUAGGGGAAUCUUGCGGCAAGUGGGACGAAAGCCGUAGACGCACGCCAUGCCGCGUAGAAGUG
rnacentral:rRNA from 1 species